rnacentral:rRNA from 1 species
AGAGUUUGAUCAUGGCUCAGAAUCAACGCUGGCGGCGUGCCUAACACAUGCAAGUCGAACGAGAAAGUGGAGCAAUCCAUGAGUACAGUGGCGACCGGGUGAGUAACACGUGAUCAACCUACCCUCAAGUGGGGGAUAACUCCGGGAAACCGGAGCUAAUACCGCAUAACAUCUUCGGUUCAUAUGAACUGAUGAUCAAAGGAGCAAUUCGCUUGAGGAGGGGGUCGCGGCUGAUUAGCUAGUUGGUAGGGUAAUGGCCUACCAAGGCUUAGAUCGGUAUCCGGCCUGAGAGGGCGCACGGACACACUGGAACUGAAACACGGUCCAGACUCCUACGGGAGGCAGCAGUGGGGAAUUUUGCGCAAUGGGGGAAACCCUGACGCAGCAACGCCGCGUGGAGGAUGAAGUCCCUUGGGACGUAAACUCCUUUCGACCGGGAAGAUACUGACUGUAUCGGAUGAAGAAGCACCGGCUAACUCUGUGCCAGCAGCCGCGGUAAUACAGAGGGUGCGAGCGUUGUUCGGAAUUAUUGGGCGUAAAGGGCGCGUAGGCGGCGCGGUAAGUCACCUGUGAAAUCUCCUGGCUCAACUGGGAGCUUGCAGGCGAAACUGCCGUGCUGGAGUGUGGGAGAGGUGCGUGGAAUUCCUGGUGUAGCGGUGAAAUGCGUAGAUAUCAGGAGGAACACCUGUGGCGAAAGCGGCGCACUGGACCACAACUGACGCUGAGGCGCGAAAGCUAGGGGAGCAAACAGGAUUAGAUACCCUAGUAGUCC